rnacentral:rRNA from 1 species
ACGGAAGGCAGCAGUGGGGAAUAUUGGGCAAUGGGCGCAAGCCUGACCCAGCAACGCCGCGUGAAGGAUGAAGGUCUUCGGAUUGUAAACUUCUUUGAUUGGGGAAGAAUAAAUGACCUACCCAAAGAACAAGCCACGGCUAACUACGUGCCAGCAGCCGCGGUAAUACGUAGGUGGCAAGCGUUAUCCGGAUUUACUGGGUGUAAAGGGCGUGUAGGCGGCUUUGCAAGUCAGAUGUGAAAUUCCUGAGCUCAACUCGGGCGCUGCAUCUGAAACUGUAAAGCUUGAGUACUGGAGGGGAAAGCGGAAUUCCUAGUGUAGCGGUAAAAUGCAUAGAUAUUAGGAGGAACACCGGUGGCGAAGGCGGCUUUCUGGACAGUAACUGACGCUGAGGCGCGAAAGCGUGGGGAGCAAACAGGAUUAGAUACCCUGGUA